rfam:Asian citrus Psyllid, Diaphorina citri - Florida Strain, whole genome shotgun sequence.
ACUCCCAUGGUGUAGUGGUCACUGUGCUCACCUUGCAAGUGGGAGACCCAGGUUCGAUUCCCGGUGGGGUCA